CAGAUCUCAAAUAACCAAUGUGAUCUGAGGGGGCUAAGGGAACACUUCUUAUUCCCCCUCCAGUGUCUCAGAUAAUAACACACUCAUUCAACCAACAAUGUUCAGGUGCCGUUAAAUGAGACACUCAGAAAGUGAGCGGAGGGAAAGAAAUUGCUGUCAUUACUUUUCAAGAAAGGAGGUAUGCAAAUUUUCGACAGAAAGAUUGCGUUCAUAAUGGGCCUGGUAAAAUACAAGGAUCAUGCUUGACAGAGGGGAAGUCACAUUUUGCAAGGAUUUCUGCUCAGGACGUGUUUAAAGACUCAAUACUACGCUACACGAAAACAGAAACAACCACCCAGACAAACAAAACCAGAAACCAUCAUUCCCUCUCAACGAAGUGAGC